rnacentral:rRNA from 1 species
AAACUUUCAACAACGGAUCUCUUGGUUCUGCCAUCGAUGAAGAACGCAGCGAAAUGCGAUAAGUAAUGUGAAUUGCAGAAUUCAGUGAAUCAUCGAAUCUUUGAACGCACAUUGCGCCCGCCAGUAUUCUGGCGGGCAUGCCUGUUCGAGCGUCAUUU